CGAACAUAAGAUUAGGCAGUAUAGCAUUGUGUUGUUGCCUUACUUAUUUCGGAUAAAUCAUUAAGUGCCUACUCAUUAUGGCAAUACAAAAUGUUAAUCAAUUCUUUUGUUGAUAAAUCGCUUUGGAGAUGUAUUAAGAGGGACACUGCUGCCCAUCCCUCGCCCUUAGUCGCCUCUUGCAACAUCCACGGGAAAGGAAGGGGUGACCCAUUGUAUACCGCGGCACACACGGAGAUUCCAUGUAAUACGUGGACAAACAAACUUAUUUUCAGAUCUAUGUAAACAAAAAUCAAUUGGCGAAUGUAUAUAAGUGCAUUACUUUAAAACGACAGCACCUAUUUGGUUAAUUUUUUUUUUCUUGUGAAAAUGUUUGAAAAAUGUACGGAAAGAAAAACGUCUAAAGGAUCUCCAUAAAAAAAAAAAGAGUGAGAAGGAAGAUUUAAUCUCAUUUGAUUAGUACACCCGUGCGAAAUCGCGGCGGGCGGUUGGUUUUUUAUAUUAGUUAAGAAGUAAGCACUUAGAAUACAAAACAAGCUAAUAUAAAAUAAGUAAAUAGUAACUUAAUCUAUAGAACACGAAUAGCACUAUAAUAUUACACAAUACACUGUGACACCCGACUAUGCUCCUCCACUGUGGCGAGCACUUUGUAAUUGAAUACUUUUUGUUUGACCCGCGCAUCGAACCUUAGGCCUAUCUGCGGCCCUCAAGCCUCAAGUGGCGUCCAUUCGAGCAAAUACAAGUUUCAGCAUACAAUCUCAUGCGGUCUGUUGGACACUACCAAUAUAGCAAGUUUUCUGUCCAGACCCUUAUCGUCCCGGAUCAUAUCCGGACUGUGACCGUUACGGAAAGUUCACCACGUAUCCACCUCAACUUCGAGACAUCUUCGAGUGCAUUCCACUAAUUAGGAUCUAGAAGGGCCGGCCGGAGGGACCCGAGUGGCAUUCCAUCUCGACUCGACUCAUCCGGUACGAUGGAUAUACGAAAUCGCCUUGUUCUUAUUAUUUGUAGUUCUCUUUAAAUAUGUAUUCGUGUGUUCGGGUCAAGAAGCCGACCUAUGUUAUUCUUGUCUAUGUAAUCAGGUUUCUUAUGACUAAAUGUUACUUUUACUGAAAUUUUGUUUGUACAACAUAUACAUAUGAGAUUAAAAAAAUAAAAUGUUUAUUUUUA